AACGCACCAACACCACAAAACCCUACUCACAACCGAGUUAUUUCAAGGUUUUUUUUAUUAAACGGGCGGGUAGCCCCAUACAUACAAAUCAAACGCCAAUCAUGGCAUGGUCACGCUCGUAACUCCUUGAACUGUCCGACGCCCACCCGCAAUCGAGCAACCGACAACGUACAAACCCGGCUUCACUGGUAACGUUACGAUCACAGCCCAGUUUCAUAGAUUUUCGAGCGGUUAUGGACCCGAUGUCGACCGUAACGGUGUAAAGUGCUACAAAAGAUCAGGAAUCUAACCCUGCUUGACCUCCGCAGGCAGCACUGCCCACAGAUUUAGUUAGAAUUGUGUGCAACAACUCAGCUGAGUGAAACGGAAUCAUUGCCUCUUUCUUCUCUGUCUCACUAAACUGUCAUUAAAAUACAACAGCGAGUGAACCAUCAUUUUCAAAAUACCAGCAUCCUUGAUAACGAGGAAGGACACCUAUUUUCAGGAAGGACACCUAUUUACGCAUCACGAGAAGAAUAACGGCUUGAAUUAUUGUUAUGCCCUUUGUUGCGUGCUCACAUCAUCAUUUUGCUGGAACGUAUUUUCUGUGGAGCCCGAAUCGAAUCGGAAAUCGUUUCUCCGAGUGAAUUAGACCAUAAAGUCAUUUUAAUCAUGCGCAUGGUAGAAUUUCUAUGUGAGUCGUCUCAAGUCGCCAAAUUACAAAAAUCGUAACAAGCCCCGGAGAUGCGGUUUUCAUUAAAUCUCAUUCACGGUGGAGAAGGACGAAUCCAGUGGAACGAUGCAGAUUGUUCAGAUUCCGUUAUUAGAAACUUGUUUUAAUUGCAGACAAAUAAUUCGUCGUUGGGUACUAGGAGGUAUAGGACAGCUUUCAACAGCGACAGUAUAAGAAAACAGCGACAGUAUAAAAAAAUAUGACAAGCUACUACGAAGCUGUUGUGGCUUAACAAACGAACAGCAAUUGAAUUUUGAGGUUUACCAUAUUUCAAAACUGAAGAGGUGGAAAGGAUCGUUUUUUUUUGGAUUUCAUAAUAUCGAACAUAGACAAGACCAAAAAGAAGAGUUACAACUAGGAUCUUAGAACUAGAGGAAUUCCACGAAUUUAAGAUUGGCUCUAUAUAAGAAACAAAAAAAUCGAAUAUUUAUUUGUCAGAUGGCGCAAAGAGAAAUAUAUUGCAGAUGAUCUAUUCCGUGCAAAAAAGCUCCAGGACGAAUGCAAUUCUGGGAGAGAUGUAAAGUGAACAGAAUCGUUAUGAGGAUUUGAUGACGAAGUUUGAUACUCCAUCAGGAAGAAUCACUAACCGUCAAAAACAUAAACAGAUCAAAUAUCAGUGUGCUAGUUAUAUUAAGAAGAAAUGUGUUG